GUUGAACGCUGGCGGCAUGCCUAACACAUGCAAGUCGAGCGGAGCGGCGGACGGGUGAGUAAUGCCUAGGAAUCUGCCUGGUCGUGGAGGCUAACGUCAGGAAACGGGCGCUAAUACCGCAUACGAUCAGAUGACCCUAGGUGGGAUUAGCUAGUUGGUGGGGUAAAGGCUUACCAAGGCGACGAUCCGUAGCUGGUCUGAGAGGAUGAUCAGUCACACUGGAACUGAGACACGGUCCAGACUCCUACGGGAGGCAGCAGUGGGGAAUAUUCGACAAUGGGCGAAAGCCUGAUCCAGCCAUGCCGCGUGUGUGAAGAAGGUCUUCGGAUCGUAAAGCACUGUAAGUUGGGAGGCGUUACCAACAGAAAAAGCAACGGCUAACUUCGUGCCAGCAGCCGCGGUAAUAC
rnacentral:rRNA from 1 species